AUAAAUGAUUAUGAUAGUGCCGAUAUCUAUGUUAAUCAUAUAGUAGAUGAACCUAUUGUUAUAAGAGAAGAUGAAGUAAAAGAGUAUGUUGAACUUGUACAUGAACCAUAAAUAUUGACUCAUAUGAUGAAGUCCAUGUAUAUGAGAGGAAAGAAGUCCUUAUUGAGGAGAGGGAAGAAAUCCAUGAUAAGCGGAGGGAAGAAGUCCAUAUUAAGGAGAUGAGAGAAGUUCAUGUUGAGCAAAAUGAAUAUGUUAUUAAGAAAGAUGAAGAUUUUGUGCAUGAUGAUAACGAUGAUUUUGGUGAUAGGGAAAUUAGUUACUUAGAAGAAGAUGAUUGAGAUAGGACACCAAGUACCUAGCCAUACAUUUAUGUAAGAUGACAAUUGUGCAAACCAAAUCUCUUCAAACCAAGAACCAACAACAAUAUAUGAUUUUGAAUAAAGGAAAGAUGUUGAAUCAUAUAACAUU
rnacentral:lncRNA from 1 species